rnacentral:rRNA from 1 species
UACGAAGGGGGCUAGCGUUGUUCGGAAUCACUGGGCGUAAAGGGCGCGUAGGCGGCCACCGCAAGUCGACUGUGAAAUCUCCGGGCUUAACCCGGAAAGGUCAGCCGAUACUGCGGGGCUAGAGUGCAGAAGGGGCAACUGGAAUUCUCGGUGUAGCGGAUGAAUGCGUAGAUAUCGGAGAGAACACCUGCGGCGAAGGCGGGUUGCUGGGCUGACACUGACGCUGAUGUGCGAAAGCUAGGGGAGCGAACGGG